rnacentral:rRNA from 1 species
UACGUAGGGUGCAAGCGUUAAUCGGAAUUACUGGGCGUAAAGCGUGCGCAGGCGGUUGUGCAAGACAGGCGUGAAGUCCCCGAGCUCAACUUGGGAAUUGCGCUUGUGACUGCAAGGCUAGAGUGUGUCAGAGGGGGGUAGAAUUCCACGUGUAGCAGUGAAAUGCGUAGAGAUGUGGAGGAAUACCGAUGGCGAAGGCAGCCCCCUGGGACAUGACUGACGCUCAUGCACGAAAGCGUGGGGAGCAAACAGG